CCAGGAGGAGGAAGAGGAGGAGGAUAAAUAUGAGCUGCCCCCCUGUGAGGCUCUGCCCCUCAGUCUGGCUCCUGCCCACCUUCCUGACACGGAGGAAGACUCUUUGUACUUAGAUCACCCCCUGAGCCCAUCCAAGUCACCACCACCGCAGCCCCAGCCCGCAAUGCUGAAGGCAGCGCUGAGCCUGCAGGAGGCCGUCACACAGGGC